UUAUACGGGAUUUUGUUUUAAUUUUGUUAUUUUUUUUAUAAAUAAAAUGAAGGAUAAACUUAUUUGUUAUAGUAUAUUUUUAGAAUUAAUAUAAUGUGUUGUUGUUAGUACUGUGGAGGAACUUUUUUAAUAUUAUAAAAGAUUUAAUAAUUUUAAUUACCUUUUGUAUCAGGGCUUUUUAAUAAAAUUGAAUUAGUUUUAAAUCCCGAAUAAUAGUGAUCUAGAAUUAUAUGAUAGUUAAUGUGUCAUUAAUUAUUAUAAAUAUAAUUCUGGGGGGGAUAUCCUAUUCAACCUAUUAGAUAUCUGGUUCUUUUGGAAUUAAAUUUAAUUUAGGUAAAAUUUAAUUUUACUAAAAUUAUUCGGGUUAAUCUGGGUGAUUUAAUAAUAAUUUUAUUUUAGAGUGUUGAUUUAGAGAUAAAAUUAUUUAAAUUUUUAUUUAAUGUUAUAAUCACCAAAUUAAAAUUUUAGUUUGAAUUUUGUUAAUAUACAAAAGGAGGAUUUUGAAUUAUUUAUAAGCUAAUAUAAUGAUGGGAUUAGUAAAUUAUUUUAUUAUUAAUUUUUUUGGAUUUAUUAAUUUACUUUAAUGAAUUCGGCAAAUUUCUUUCUAAAUGUUUAAUAAAAACAUUUUCUUUAGUUUAGGUUUAAAGGUAUAUUCUGCUCCAUGAAUUAAUUAUUUAAAUAGCUAGUAAUACUAAGGUAGCAUAAUAAUUUGGCUCUUAAAUGGGGUCUGGGAUGAAUGAAUGAAUAAGAGGGAUACUUUAUUUAAGUAAUAAUUUGAAUUUAGAGUUUGGGUUAAAAUACCUAAAUAUUUUAAAGGGACGAGAAGACCCUGUAGAAUUUAAUUUAUUAUUUAUAUACGAAAUAAUAUAUUAUUUCGUUUAUAAUUUAUGAGUUUAGUUGGGGACACUAGUAAAAUAUUUAUUAAAUUUCACUAAUAUUUAAAUAUAAAUGAAUAGUUUUAUUGUGGGGUAUGACCUGAAAUAAAUUAAUUACCUCAGGGAUAACAGCGUGAUAUUUCUAGAGAGAUCUUAUUGAAAGAAGUGUUUGCGACCUCGAUGUUGAAUUAUGAUAUAAUCUGUAAGCAGCUUUAUUGAAUUUUAGUCUGUUCGACUAUUAAAAUCAUACAUGAUUUGAGUUAAGAUCGACGUGAGUCAGAUUGGUUUCUAUCUUUUAUAAUUUUUGCUUUUUUUUGUACGAAAGGACUUGGGAAGUUAAUUUAAUUAUUUAUUUGAGUUAUUAUAAAAUUU
rnacentral:rRNA from 1 species